UUACGAGCAACUAAAACAAGAAAUCGAUGCACUUCGAGAGCAACUGAAAACAUGCCAUCUGUCCAAAUUUGGACUGCAGCGGUUUGCCUCUUCUCCAGAAGACAUACGAUUUUACACCAGGUUCCCAUCCUACACGCACCUGAUGGCGUUUUGGAGCCUGAUUGAGUCUGCAACAUCAAAAAUGAUCAGAGUGACCAGCAGAGCCAGGAAAGCAUGCGACAUUAGCACAGUCACUGAGAGCCCUAUGACCAGACCAACUAAACUGCUGCCAAUAGAUGAGCUGUUCCUUUUCUUGACUUACCUGUCAACUGGCUGUACCCAAAGGGAACUGUCUCAUCGCUUCAACAUCCACAGAACAACAGUAGGCCGUAUCAUAGUCACUUGGGCCAACUUUCUGUACUCCCUGUUGGGCUCGAUCUGUUUUUGGAUGUCCCCUGCAGCUGUGAAGACCUGUCUACCUCCUG